UACGGAGGAUGCAAGCGUUAUCCGGAUUUAUUGGGUUUAAAGGUGCGCAGGUGGUUUAAUAAGUCAGUGGUGAAAGUCUGUCGCUUAACGGUAGGAUUGCCAUUGAUACUGUUAGACUUGAAUAUGGAUGAGGUAGGCGGAAUGUGUAGUGUAGCGGUGAAAUGCAUAGAUAUUACACAGAACACCGAUUGCGAAGGCAGCUUACUAAUCCAUCAUUGACGCUGAGGCACGAAAGCGUGGGGAGUCAAACAGGA
rnacentral:rRNA from 1 species